rnacentral:lncRNA from 1 species
AUGUGCCUGUCUAUCUGUCUGUCUGUCUCUGUCUCUCUGUCUGUCUCUCAUAUUCUCUGUCUCUGUCUCUGUCUGUUUGUCUGUCUUCUGUCUCUCAUAUUCUCUGUCUCUGUCUCUGUCUGUUUGUCUGUCUUCUGUCUGUCUUUCACCAGGAGAGGAAGGUUUGCUUCUGAGCUAUUUCUUUGAGAUCUUGAGUUUUGCUUUGACUAAAGAUAAAGUAGGGAGUUGAGCUAUCUGGUCUCAGAGGAAGCCAAGGGUACUGAAAACAUGAUGGGGGGUUAAAAUGUAUUUGGCUUUAAUUCUUUCCAUUCAGUUCUUUAAUAUAUAUAUGUACAUGGGACUCAUAUACACAUACAUAAUGAUAGUAAUGUGUAUUUGUCUGUACAAAUGGGUGUAAACGGUAUCCAGUUCUUUAGUAUAUUUAUGUAUUUGUGUGUAUGUAUAUGUCUGCCUAUACACAAUUAUACAUACUUACAUAUACUAAACUAGAUAUAGUUUACAUCUCUGUAGAAACAUGAGUGGGUCUAUAGGUAUAUGUAAAUAUGUAUACAUACAUAUAUAAAAGAACUGAAUAUAGUUUGUGCAUCUGCAUACAACUUCAAUCAAAGUAUAGCUGAGAUGGAAGGGAAAGGUUUGGUUUGGUUUUUCUAGUGAGACUGAGGCUAGAGGCAAAGGAAAUUCUUUCAGAUAAAUCUAUAUACCUUUCUUCCUUAGAUUAAUGAGAUGAGUGCUGCCAUUCACAGAGUAUAGAGCUCAGAGAAAGAGGUAACCAGCUCUUUGAGAGUCAGAGAGAGCUUGACAUUACCCUUGCCCCAUUACUCUUGUCUUUGACAAAGAACACAUCCAUCACUGACAAGCUUAUGUCUGAUAACUGGACCAUUAUC